GAGUGAUUUCAAAUUUCACCUUUCACCCGACUCUGAUGGAAACACACCGGAUGUCCCAACUACUGGGGAGACCGAGGGAGGAAGAAGGCUUGAGCCCAUUAGCUGGAGAACAAUCUGGGAUCCUGACAACUGGCCUUGGGGCAAUGGUAACUGGGGACACAACACAAUUCUGCGCUGUGUGUAGCAGGGAAUUCUUUUCCACUCUGGUGAAGCCAGAAUUUUUGACUUCAGUGCCAAAAAGAAUGUCAGAAGGUCCUGAGUUCAAUUCCCACCAACCACAUGGUGGCUCACAACCAUCUGUAAUGGAAUCAGAUGCCUUCUGCCGCUGUGUCUGAAGACUGUACUCACAUAUAUAAAGAAUUUGAUCAGUUUGAUGAAAUUUCAUUGAUGUCAACUCUCCAGCUGUCUGUGCCUUACCAAAAGCUGUUUGCCUCCAAGACAAUAAACAGCCCGUGUGAUCCUUUCUCUUGCUUAAGCAGGAAGUCACCACUCAACAGGAAGGAAUUUAAAACCAAUCCCACAAAAUUUCGUGUUUGGUAUAAAAUGUGAAAUAUUUGAAGUCUGGGGAUAUUGUCAUCUCAGAGGUCCCCAGUGGGAACACAUGGCUGCUUUCCGGUUCAGUGAGAGGGUCACACCUUGCCCUCGAGUCGAAUAUAAUUGCAAACAUUCCCCUCUGGGGAAUAUCUUGUAAGGAAGAUUGCCUGACUUUCUGUUAAAUCAAACCUCUCCCCUCGAUGCCUUACAAAUUCUCAGGCUUACUGUAUUUCAUCAGCCUAAAGGCAGGGUUUGACAUCAGCAAUUGUUCGAGAACAUUUGCUUUUACAGUGGAAGAAAGAAAUGAAAAGAGCAGAUCCCAGACCAGAAAAUCCAUGCCUCUCUGAGCCGUUUUCUUAGGGAAAGAGGGUGGGCUUUCUGUUGUUUGUUUGUUUGCAGGUCAGGACGAAUGCAGUAGUUGAUGCAUCGUUGUGACUAACAAAAAACAUUUUAUAUCGGUUAGAGACUUUUUAAAAACUUCAUUACAAAGUUAGAGAAAAGAUUAGGGCAGAAGAAAAAUGAAUGGGAAAGUCGAAAAUCCUCGAUGCAUGCCAGGAAAUAAAAACGACCUGAGUCAAAUCCAAAUACAAGCAAACGGAACAACC
rnacentral:lncRNA from 1 species